GUUAGGCUGCAGUCGACGAUUCCUACGGGAGGCAGCAGCAGGGAAUAUUGCACAAUGGGCGCAAGCCUGAUGCAGCGACGCCGCGUGAGGGAUGAAGGCCUUCGGGUUGUAAACCUCUUUCAGGAGGGACGAAGCGCAAGUGACGGUACCUCCAGAAGAAGCCCCGGCCAACUACGUGCCAGCAGCCGCGGUAAUACGUAGGGGGCGAGCGUUGUCCGGAUUCAUUGGGCGUAAAGAGCUCGUAGGCGGCUCAGUAAGUCGGCCGUGAAAGCCCAGGGCUCAACCCUGGGAGGCCGGUCGAUACUGCUGUGGCUAGGGUCCGGUAGAGGAGAGUGGAAUUCCCGGUGUAGCGGUGAAAUGCGCAGAUAUCGGGAGGAACACCAGUAGCGAAGGCGGCUCUCUGGGCCGGUACCGACGCUGAGGAGCGAAAGCUAGGGGAGCAAACAGGAUUAGAUACCCUGGUAGUCCUAGCCGUAAACGUUGGGCACUAGGUGUGGCGGAUUCAUUGACGUCUGCCGUGCCGGCGCUAACGCAUUAAGUGCCCCGCCUGGGGAGUACGGUCGCAAGGCUAAAACUCAAAGGAAUUGACGG
rnacentral:rRNA from 1 species